GGCAGUGUGGCAUAGUGGUUUGAGCAUUAGACUACAAUUCUGGAGAUCAGGGUUCAGUUCCCUACUCAGCAA